AUUGCGCUGAAAUUCAUUAGAAAUAACAACCUUUUUAUCCAUAGCAAUUUUGUUUUUUUUUUUUUUUUUUUUUAACGGGACUGAAAUCUCCGUAUUUUUCAUUGAUACUUGUGGUGAACUAUUCUUAACUAGUUAUUCGAAGUCGAAUGGUAUUGAAAGAUGCUUAAAAAAUGCAUUUUAAAAUUUGGAUUCAACGUUAAAUUUCUUAUUAAUACUUAGAAUCGCUGGAUUUCGCUGGAGUCUAAAUAAAAUCCGUUUUUCAAUACACAGCCCAUUUAGAAAGUUGAUGCAAAGAAGAUGAAGUCGCGCGUGCCAGAUGGUAUGCGAGUGGUGAAAUAAAAGUUCAGGAAAUCUUAUUGAUUUACGACGUUCCGAAAAAUCGAUUGGCAAACUUUUCACUUAGCGAAUGUGUAUUUCAAGCUGUUGUGCCGUCACGUGGAAUCUACCACAGACCGAAUCGACUUUUUCGUACGUCGAGACACACCUGCUACGAUGUCCAGGACGUUUACGUAUUUCCGCGAUGCUAAUUGACCCACAGAAUGCAAACGAUUCGAUUAAACUUUCUGGCGCAAUUUAAUAGUCCACAAAAAUUGCUUGCCCAAUCGGCGUUCCGGAUUCAUCGAACGAAAUCGGAAUUUUAGGAAAAUCCUAAAAUUUGAGAUAUUAAUCACUAAAUGGGUUCGCAGCAGCGUCACGUGAAUUGGGAGCGCAUCCGACAGUCCCACAUUGGCGAGUUUUUUCUUGCAGCAUUUAAAUUUUCAUUGAUAUACGUAGCUUCACUCGUAGGCCAUCAGAAUUUGAAUUCAAUGGCAGCAAAUGUCGUUGAUACAAUCCACUGCAAGGCUACAAUAAUGAAAAAGGAUUUUCGACCUUCCUUGUGUCAAAAUUCGGUUUCAACGACAUUGAGUAAAGUGUGUCGCAUACGUCGAUCGGAGGCAAUACGCUGUCGCAACAAUCAGUACUUCUUACGAGUGUCAUCCGUUCGCGCUUCGUAAUUUGCCGAGGAUUUGGGAUGAUUCACUGCAGAAAGUGAGCGAGAACGUUGGCAGAUUCGAGAAUGUGAUUCAGAAUUCAGAGACGAAUGGAAAGAGGUUUGGACAAAACAAGAGUAACGCAGUGAUCCAGAGCCAGCCAGUAAAAUCGAAAAAUCACCGAGCAGAGUUAAUCAACGGGCUCAUCUUAAGAACUUUUGAUGCACGAAUUAAAGGCUGAUCAUGAAAGUUGAAUCGGAGGCUAGAAACACAAAAAUUUGAUGAGAAGGAGUGAACGGAAUUGAUUGAGUAAACCAAUAAGAUGGAGCGACUCUGAAACAUGGCAUAAUUUUCAAAAACUUUGAAUUCUCGUACAUAGUUUGCCUCAUUACAAAUGAGACCCCGUUGAUUCGUGCGGUUUUCACGAGAAGAUUCAUUUCGUAAUUGAGAUGCGUUGAUAUUAAGCAAAGAGAAAGGAGAAAUCCAAUAGGUGAAAGAUGAAACGCUUCACGCGUUUACUCACGAGGUCUCAAGCAAUCCUACGCAAACUAGUAGCUCCGGCUGCCAGACUUUUUCUACAUGGAAAUAUAAAUCACUUUACCACUGAGCAAAGAGGGUCGACGAAUUUGCAAACUCGUGAGAUAGAGGAAGGAGAGAUCCGAUGGGAAAGGGAAGAAGAGAGAGAGAGAGAGAGAGAGAAAAGGCGAAGAGUGACGGAAGCUUCUGACAAGAGCAAGACCGGAAUGCCUGAUGUAUGUUUUUGGCUACUCGGACUCUGCUCUCGUGAGUAGAAUAAUAAAAAAUGAUACUUCGUUCCAUCCGUGUCCUUGGUCCAGGGGUAAUUAAAAAAUAAUAAUUGAGCCCGAAACAGAUGCCGAUUUCAGUAUUCAAUUGUAGGAGAUUGCACGCGUUGUUUAUGCAGGGUCGAUUGAAAAAUUGCUCAGCUCGUUCGUUCAUAUUAGUCCGGAAUACGCGAUUUUAAUUGGCCCCCUUGACUACACACGCUCUGACACUGCUGACAUAAUAUUAACGUCGGAACAAGCGUCUUCUUUAAAGGACGUUGAUCUCUUGGGAAUUGAUUAAAACGUCGUAAUUGGAAGAGUACUUUAACGCCAUUAUCUCAACGUCGAGUCUCUUUGCUUGGGUCAAUCACCGUAUAAAACUAGUAAAUAAUACACAGCCAGAGGGCAAAAUCAUGUGAUUUGAAUUUUUUCAUUCGCACGAGUGCACGACAGCAAUUGAAUAUUUCAUUUGGUCUCGUUGUGUCGUUUACAUCUCUUGGAAAAAUGAGACUCGACGUGUGGUUUCAAAUUAUACAAAUGGUCUGCAAGCGUACACCAUGCCUAUCUCCGUUUAUGCAUGUCCUAUGUCAGAAAAUAAUUCAUUAUUCGCUACGCGACCUUCAAAGAAAUGGAGCACUGUACGAUCCCAUUGAAUAGAAUCUCUUUCGUAAUUUGAGGAGAUCGUUACUACCUUUAAAAAUGUAUUUAUCUCUUGAACGUUGUCGAUCGAAAUUCGUAAUAAACGAGUCAUUAUUUUCUUGCAGUGCUGUAAUAUGAAGUCCAGUAGCACGAUUUAUAUUUUUUGAUAAAUUCUUCGUGCAAGACAACAAUGGAAUAAACCUGCACGGAUGAACAAACGAGUGUUUGAAAAUUGCGGUCCAAUUAAAACGACCAUGCAUGUCGCUCUUGAUGCCAAUUAUAAAAUAUCAUGAAUUACAUGUAGCGUACGUCAUUCACGUCGAUACAAACAACGCUCGCUUAUCAUUACUUGGUAUCAGGAUCCGAUCGUACUUUGCAUUCUGUAGCUCGAUUUUUCUCUCCAGAUCCUGUCGAUGGUCAUGCAAUUUCUUAGUUAUGAGAGAAAAUCAAC
rnacentral:lncRNA from 1 species